AAAAACAUCUCCUUUUGAUUUUUAUUUAAGGUUUAAUCUGCUCAAUGAAUAUUAAAUUGCCGCGGUAUUUUGACCGUGCAAAGGUAGCAUAAUAAUUAGUUUCUUGAUUAGAAGCUUGAAUGAAUGAUUGGACGAGAAAAUUUCUGUCUCUUUUUAAUUUGUUUUUGAAUUUUAUUUUUAAGUAAAAAAGCUUAAAUUUUAAUAAAAGACGAGAAGACCCUAUAGAGUUUUAUAUUUAAUGUUUAUUUAGUAUUAGAAAUUUUUUUAAAUUUUACUUAUUUAGUUGGGGUGACUGGAGGAUAAAAAUAAUUCCUCUUUUUGUUAAUUGAUGAUUGUUAAAUUGGUUAUCUGAUUUUUUCAAAUAAAAAAUAAAUUACCUUAGGGAUAACAGCGUAAUUUUUCUUUAGAGUUCUUAUUGAAAGAAGAUUUUGCGACCUCGAUGUUGGAUUAAAAUAAAUUUUUGGUGUAGAAGCUAAAAAAUUGGGUCUGUUCGACCUUUAAUAUUUUACAUGAUCUGA
rnacentral:rRNA from 1 species